CACGUAGGGGCCAAGCGUUGUCCGGAUUUAUUGGGCGUAAAGAGCUCGUAGGCGGUUCGGUAAGUCGGGUGUGAAACCUCCAGGCUCAACCUGGAGACGCCACCCGAUACUGCUGUGACUCGAGUCCGGUAGGGGAGCGUGGAAUUCCUGGUGUAGCGGUGAAAUGCGCAGAUAUCAGGAGGAACACCAGCGGCGAAGGCGGCGCUCUGGGCCGGAACUGACGCUGAGGAGCGAAAGCGUGGGUAGCAAACAGG
rnacentral:rRNA from 1 species